rnacentral:rRNA from 1 species
GGGUCUGAUACAUUCUCGGUCAAGGGUUUUAGAAACUGGAAAAAGGUUAAUGAUGGAAAAGCGUGUGCUUUUUUAACUCAUGUUGGGGGCCCGGACUCUGCUCACAACUAUUCCGCUCGGUGCUAUGAAGAUCUCAAGACCAGUAUGGCUCAUAUCGACUAUGUGAUGGAAAAGAGAAAUGAGAAGGUAGCUACUGCUGCGAGAUUGAGGCUUAAGACUACCAUCGAAGCCAUGAGGUGGCUGAUAUUCCAAGCUUGUUCUUUUAGAGGUCAUGAUGAAUCUGCGGGGUCUAAGAACCAAGGAAAUUUUCUUGAAAUGGUUAAGAUUCUCGCUUUGUACAAUAAGGAUGUCGCGGGAGUUGUUCUGGAAAAUGCUCCAGGUAAUGCAAAGUAUACAUCCGGAGAUGUUCAGAAAGAGAUUGUUGGCAUACUUGCUCUAGAAGUGCAGAAAGCAAUUAGAGAAGAAAUAGGUAAUGCGAAGUUCUGCAUAAUGGUUGAUGAAGCUCGGGAUGAAUCAAGAAAAGAACAAAUGGCAGUUGUUCUUCGGUUUGCCAACAAAGAAGCAGAAAUAAUUGAGCGUUUCCUUGAUCUAGUUCAUGUUAAUGACACUGCUGCCUUAACUUUGAAAAAUGCAAUAUGUACUGUACUGUCAAAUAAUAACUUGAAUGUACAAGACAUCAGGGGCCAAGCAUAUGACGGUGCAAGUAAUAUG